UGUCCUUUCGGCUGGGUGCAGCAUUUGGAACGUAAGUCAGUGGAUCGGGUCGGAUCAAGUAUCUACAAAAAGAAAUCACAGCUGUUACUAAAACAAGGUGGUGCAAGUCAGGGAAGCACUUUCCUUUUAUCACCUGUGCCAAGGGCUUGAAAUGUGGAGGCUGUAUAAAUGGAAAUUGCCUGCAUUCGCAGUUUUCCUUGUUAAGCUCUUGACAAAACAAACAACUGGACUUGCUGUCAGCAUUAGUGGAAAGGCAGAGACCAAUCCCAAUCAUCAUCACUACAGGAGGGAACAGCUGCAGGAAGGUGAAGGAAUGGGAGAACUUACAGCAUUUGUCCUGAGGCUGUGCCUGAUGGAGCCCUGCUCUCCUGGAGAUGGCCAAACACUGCCUGCCCAUCAGAAGUGUGAGCAAAUUCUUUGCUUUGCUUUCACACACACAGUUUUUGCUUAACCUACUGAACUAACUUUACCUGAACCCACAAGAUUUCUCCCUCUCAGCCUCUCAGUUUUCUCCCCAUCCCACCUUGGGGGGAAUGAGCAAGCCACCAGCUGUGUGGGGCUUGCUUCAACCAGGACACCCAGAAACAGGCAGACAAUAAGCAAAUACUUACUUGUGAAGCCAUGUCUCGUGACUGACAAAGGAAGGGGAAAAAGAAAACAAAAGACAAUUUAAACAGAAGUGAAUCUAAAGAAACAAAUACGGACCAUUAAACAGGAGCCACAGAAAAGCAGC